UAAGCAAUUAUACCGUGAAACUGCGAAUGGCUCAUUAAAUCAGUUAUCGUUUAUUUGAUAGUACCUUACUACUUGGAUAACCGUGGUAAUUCUAGAGCUAAUACAUGCUAAAAACCCCAACUUCGGGAGGGGUGUAUUUAUUAGAUAAAAAACCAAUGCCCUUCGGGGCUCCUUGGUGAUUCACAAUAACUUCUCAGAUCGCAUGGCUUUACGCCGGCGACGGUUCAUUCAAAUUUCUGCCCUAUCAACUUUCGAUGGUAAGGUAGUGGCUUACCAUGGUUUCAACGGGUAACGGGGAAUUAGGGUUCGAUUCCGGAGAGGGGGCCGGAGGAACGGCCACCACAUCCAAGGAAGGCAGCAGGCGCGCAAAUUACACAAUUCCGAUACGGAGAUGUAGUGACAAUAAAUACUGAUACAGGGCUCUUUUGGGUCUUGUAAUUGGAAUGAGUACAAUUUAAAUCUCUUAACGAGGAACAAUUGGAGGGCAAGUCUGGUGCCAGCAGCCGCGGUAAUUCCAGCUCCAAUAGCGUAUAUUAAAGUUGUUGCAGUUAAAAAGCUCGUAGUUGAACCUUUGGCCUGGCUGGCAGGUCCGCCUCACCGCGUGCACUUGUCCGGCCGGGCCUUUUCUUCUGGAGAACCGCAUGCCCUUCACUGGGUGUGUUGGGGACCAGGACUUUUACUUUGAAAAAAUUAGAGUGUUCAAAGCAGGCCUUUGCUCGAAUACGUUAGCAUGGAAUAAUAGAAUAGGACGUGCGGUCCUAUUUUGUUGGUUUCUAGGACCGCCGUAAUGAUUAAUAGGGACAGUCGGGGGCAUCAGUAUUCAAUUGUCAGAGGUGAAAUUCUUGGAUUUAUUGAAGACUAACUACUGCGAAAGCAUUUGCCAAGGAUGUUUUCAUUAAUCAGUGAACGAAAGUUAGGGGAUCGAAGACGAUCAGAUACCGUCGUAGUCUUAACCAUAAACUAUGCCGACUAGGGAUCGGGCGGUGUUUCUAUUGUGACCCGCUCGGCACCUUACGAGAAAUCAAAGUGUUUGGGUUCUGGGGGGAGUAUGGUCGCAAGGCUGAAACUUAAAGAAAUUGACGGAAGGGCACCACCAG
rnacentral:rRNA from 1 species